GGAGAGGAGCCUCCAGCAGAGAGAGACAACAACAACAACUGCUGUGAAGAUUGCAGCAAAAGAUUUCUGUAUUGUCACCAAGUUAAGCUCAGCAAACAGAAAAUGAGGAGAUAAAAGAAGACCUCAGCAUGAAGGCUCAGUACAGUGAAGAAAGAAAAUAAGAAGAUGAAAGGAAAGACAGAGAGGAACGAGCAGGGCUGGUGAAGAGAAAUCCUCCAGACUGUGAAAGGUUUGGAAGAAACAACCCAUCAGUCCAGUUACCUCAACAGCUCCACCCUCCAUGGAGUUAGUGCUGUGACAGAAUCUGCACUGUGGAGGUGGCUUGUCCCCAACAUUCCUGUGUUUAUCAUUGUCAGGUGGCCACUAGGAGAAGCAGAAAAUAAAUAUGUUAACAAAAAGCCCAGCUGCAGGAACAGGAGUUUUGAAGAGCAUUCUCAUUAGGAAUGCUGAGAGCUGCAGUGGCUGUUAGGAGGCAGCAGCUCAGGGGUGGCUGGAGGGCUGCAAGAACCACUCUAAAUGGGCUUACAGCACGCAUUGGCACUGUUGAAAAACUGGUUCUACCUGUGAAUGCUGAGUCUGAAACAGCCUCCAGAUGAUCUGUUCACCCUGGCUGAGAGUCAGGGACCUUCAGGCAGCAGAGAGGGGAAAUUUGCAGCCUCUGAAGAGAGAUUGACAUUCCUGCCAGGAGCUGGGGACCAGUUGAUCUGUGCAGAAUCCUUCUGAGAACUGCUCAGAGAGUCUUGUUUAACAGAGGAAGAAACCGGAAGAAAGCCUGGGCAUGGUGUGUUUUCUUGCAAUAUUGCCCUGGACAGUUUCCAAUCUGUUAAUGGAUGAACACUGACAUCUAAACCAUCCCCAGGGGAGGUUCAAGAUCCAUCUGACUCCAGGUGUGACUGCACCUUCAUGCUCUCAUUGUUCAAGCCCAGCCUGCCCACAAAGCCCAGCUGGAUAAAGAAGAUGUGCAGAUAUGGGCCAUGAGGAUGCUCAGUGGAAGGUUACAAGUUACUGUCACAGAGACAGCUCUUCCUCACACCUCUGUGAAGUUCAUGUAAAUAAAGUUCUAGCAGCUUUCAGGUUUGAAAUGACAGUCUAGAACUGCACAACAGCCUAAAUUAUAUCAGCUUUAUGAAAACAGUGCAUACUGUUUACACCUUCAGAACAGGAAAAUGACCCUGAGCACCUAUGCCUGUUCUCCAUCUCAGCUGGAAAAACCAAGGAUAGGUGGAAGGCAAAUAAAUCCAACAAAAGGAUUUACUCUUACAGCACUGAGUGAUUCAACUAUUCUGAGAUUUUUCUUUCUGGCCCCUUUCACCUGACUGGGACUUGCCUUUAGAAGAGGAUUCCCAUGAAGCCCAGACUGUGGUACCCUGGUCAGACAUAGCUUGUGCCCAGUUUUUCCCACUAGCUGCCUCCAGCCUUUGCUCAGCACAUACCAUGCUAUGGAAGAAGCUGAGGACCUAACUCCAGGUACAUGCAAAGAGAGGGCAGAAGAAGGUUCAGAGAUUGCAGAAUCCUGCUUUUAAAAACAGAACCCAGAGAUGCCUGUGAAUAAUUCACUUCCACAAGCUCUGAAGUAUUGCUGCCAUUUAAUGAGAGAAGCAGUCUGAGUGCUACCUGCACCUACUUCUGACCUAGACUACAACCCCUCUAUGUGCCAUGUGUAUAAUGCCUGGUGCAACAGCCCCCCUGACCUCAGCACAGCUGCAGGUAACAUAGGAAACUGUUUGAAAAUUAAUAAUUUAUAUUUAACUCUUUGCAAUGGAUAGUUUGGAAUAAUUUGAAUUCUGCUCACAUAUCCCACUAA